rnacentral:rRNA from 1 species
AUUGAACGCUGGCGGCAUGCCUUACACAUGCAAGUCGAACGGUAACAGGUUAAGCUGACGAGUGGCGAACGGGUGAGUAAUGUAUCGGAACGUGCCCAGUCGUGGGGGAUAACUUCUCGAAAGAGCAGCUAAUACCGCAUACGACCUGAUGGUGAAAGCGGGUGAUCGCAAGACCUCGCGCCAUUUGAGCUGCCGAUAUCAGAUUAGGUAGUUGGUGAGGUAAAGGCUCACCAAGCCGACGAUCUGUAGCUGGUCUGAGAGGACGACCAGCCACACUGGGACGGAGACACGGCCCAGACGCCUACGGGAGGCAGCAGUGGGGAAUUUUGGACAAUGGGCGCAAGCCUGAUCCAGCCAUGCCGCGUGCGGGAAGAAGGACUUCGGGUUGUAAACCGCUUUUGUCAGGGAAGAAAAGGUUCUGGCUAAUAACUGGGACUAAUGACGGUACCUGAAGAAUAAGCACCGGCUAACUACGUG